AUUGUCAUAGUUAUUUUAUUUAAUAAGAGUUUUCAUCUUUUAUUAUCUUAUAAAAUAGUUAAUUAUAAAGAUAUUUUCUUUAUGCUAUAAUUGUAAAUAGUUGUAAAUUAUGUUUUUUAUAAAGAAAGGUCUUUGUUUCUGAUCGGACAAUUGGUAUACUUAUUAUAUCUGUUUUUAUAGUUAUUUAUAACAUCCGCCUUUUUGUCGCACUGACAAGAAAUAAUAAUUCACCUUAAAGUUACUAUUGCAUUGAAGUUAUAAUGUUUCCAAUGGUAAGGUUUUAUUAUUCAAAAGCCUUUUAGGCAUGAUUUCUUGAUGUGCAAUUUAUUUGACAUGUUAUUGUCAGCAAACAUAUGUUUUUUUUUAUUUUUCUAUAAAUAACAUGUUAUUUAGUAAACUUAUUUUUAGCAAGUAUACAUGUAAGGCAUAUAUUCUAUAGCUAGUUCCCCACAACAAACUAUUAUAUAUUUUUCAUUGCGUAACAUGAUUUCAUGAUAGAAAAGUUUCUAUUCUACAAUUGUCCCCCCUUUUUAUUGUGCAAAGAGUUAACCCCCCUUAACAGAGAAAUGGUUAGAUAAGUAACCUCAUUGUUUGAAUUGGAGUUUCAUAAGAAAGAUGUUUAUAUUAUUCCUUUAUUUAAUUCUCAGUACUUAGAAUAAAGUUUAUCCAAACACCUUAAAUGCUCUACCAAGUUUAUAUUUGAACGUUUAGAAUAUUUAUGCAAAAGACAUGAGAUGUUGCUCAUACAUUAAGUAUUGCGAUACGCAUUAUGUUCAUGUUUCAGAAUAUUUAUGAAAUAUUUGAUUAUGAUAGGUCUACUGCAUUAUCUAUUGGCAUAAUACUUGCAUUAUUAUAUUGAUUUAUACUGAUGAAUAUUGUUUGUCAUUUUAUAUUAUAAUUGCUAUUAUAAUUAGACUUUUACAUGCGCUCUUUGGAAAUAAAGACAUAAAACUAUUUCAAGUUUUAUUGAAUAUUGUUUCAGGCCUUGGCUCCAGACAUCACAAGUCGUCAAGGUAUAGACCCCGUUGGUAUCAGACCAAUUCCAAGCAAACACAUAGAAACUCUAAUUCUGACACUAAGAUCCAAUCGGCCAGACUCCAGAUAUGUUGUUGGUAAUACGUAGAAUGAUAUAAAGAGAGUAAUCUGUCUUGCCACAUAAAUUGUCUAGUAAUUAUACCGAACAACUUGUUCCAUUUGACACACUUAGACAACCAAAAAUAAUGGCUCCCAAAUGUGCUUUUGGUUGGAAAACUGCGCAAAAAGACAAGUUAGAGUCAGUUUUCUUCGAGGGACAAAUGUCAUCAGACUUUCUACAAGAUCUAAUUUGUUCGCGUAAGGGGAACAAAACAUAACCAGGGUCUUCCUUUCACUGAUUUAUAUAUUUUUGUUAAAAUUUAGGUAGUUGUAACAAUGUCCAGGC
rnacentral:lncRNA from 1 species